rnacentral:tRNA from 2 species
GCCAGUGUCGGAUAGCGGUCGAUUCCGCCUGAUUUGUAAUCAGGAUGCGCAAGCGCGUCGGGGGUUCGAAUCCCUCCACUGGCUCAA